ACCUCAAUACGUUCGUUUGUUGAAGAUUUGGACUGUACGAGUUUCAUUCCUCCUAUUGAAGCAAGAAUUCCUGCAUAUUUCUUAUUAAUUUUCAGGUAGGGUUUAUAAUUUUUUUUAUUGUGCGUGCGAUUUGAUGUAUAUUGUCAUUUUUUGUUGAUCUUCCAUGUGUUAUAUGCUUAUUUUAGUCAUCUUUUGUUGUUGUUACUCAAUCAUAUUAAAUAAAGUGUCACAAGUUAGGGUUUUUUUUAUUGUUGUUUGAAGUUGGAAUAUUUAGUUGAUUGUUAUUUCAAGUUGGAAUAUUUUGCUAGACAGACCACUUUAUAUGCUUUUUCCUUUUUUUUUUCCCCUUUUUUUUCCUUCUGUUUUUGCAUUGUGUAUAUGUGUUGGGUAAGGUUUAUUUAUGUACAGCUCAAUUUUUAUUUGUUUUUGGUACUUUAUUCAAUGUUUUUGUCUUUUUUAAGCAUGUGGUCCUUGUUCCCUUGUCCUUGUCUUCACAUGAAUAUUAAAUAUUGGUAGAUUACUUUUCCCUAUUAAAUUGUUGUGUAUGCAACUUUCUAUUUCCCUUUCUUUUAUGUUUUUAAUGGGUCCCUUUUCUUUUUUCUUGAUGUUUGUCAUGUGCCUGUCUUGCAGUAUGGUUGACAAGGUUGAUUUAGUGUUUAAUUAUGAGGGCAAGUGGGUCCUGAAUCCACAUGUUGUCUACAUAAAAAAAAAAAUCAUGUGUGGGAGGGAUAUGAUCCGGAUUUGCUUUCUUAUAUAGACAUAUGUAAAGAAUACACUGAAAAAUUAGGUUUUGGGGUGGUAAAACAGUUGCUGGUCACUGGCCCUUCUGAGAGAUAUUAUUUGGUUGAAAGUGAUACAGGCAUUGAGAUCACUUCAAUCUUCACUGUCUAGUCAGUUUUGUGUGCUGCAAUUCUUUGUUGUAGAUGAAAGUGAACAUAAUGUUUUAGUUCCCAACAUCAUUCAUCAUAAAGAAUCAUGCUUUGCAUUAGUAGAUGUAGGAUUUCCAUUAGUAGAUGUAGGAACUGAUUGUGAGUCAAGUUUGGAAGAGGAGGAUGAUAAUGAACCAGUUCUUAGUGACUAUGACAGUGAAGGAUUGGAAUUUUUUAAAAAGGAAAAGAAUAGGGAAGUGAAUGAAAACUAGACAAUUUUUUAAUGUUGGAAAAGGGUAUGAGCUUUAAGGAUCUUGUUGAAGCUAAAAGAGUUGUGAGCUGUUACUCAAUUUCUAAUAAGGUUGGACUUAGAGUUGAGAAGAGUGACACUACUAGAGUUAGAUAUAAGUGUGAUGUUGGCUGUCUUUCUAUGUGUUUGAUUUCUGUAGAUAACAAAGAUCAGGGAUUUAAGAUUAAGACUUUGGGAACAAAACAUACUUGUCAGCCAUCAUUUAAGAAUAGAAGAGCUACUCAACAAGCUUUAGCACACUACUUCAAGAACAAAGUGCAGAAUAAUCCCAAGUACAAGGUGAAAAAGAUGAGGCAUUUUAUGGAUGCUCAAUUUAAACUUAAUAUUAGUGCUUCAAAGAUUGGAGGGUUAAGAAGCUUGUUUUAGAGAAAUUGGAGGGUAGCUACAUUGAUGAUUUCAAUAGGUUGGAGGCUUAUGCUCAAGAAUUAAGGAUAGCAAUCCUGGUACUGAUGUGGUGAUAAACAUAUCUAAAGAGGCUCUUGAACAAGGUAAAAGAAGAUUUCUAAGAAUGUAUGUGUGAUUUCAAGCUUUGAAAAGUGGUUGGAAAUGAGUUUUGAGACCAUAUAUAGGGUUGGAUGGCACAUUUUUGAAAGGGAAGUGUAAAGGAAUUUUACCGGUUGCCCUUGGACAAGAUUCAAUAAAGCACUUCUAUCCUCUUGCUUGGAUAGUAGUGGAUAGAGAAACAUCUAGAACCUGGAAAUAGCUUAUUGAGUUGUUGAAAAUUUCCCUAGAGCUGAAGGAUGGUCAAGGAUUCACACUUAGGUCUGAUAUGGAAAAAGGUUUGAUUGAUGUUGUUACUCAUGUGCUUCCCAAAGCACACCACAGAUGGUGUGUAAGGCAUAUUGAAGCCAAUUGGAUGAAAUAUUGGAGGGGUGUAGAGAUGAAGAAGUUAUUGUGAUGGUCUGCUUAGAGCACCAAUAAAGUCUAUGAGUGUUGUGUCUGAACAAGCUAUCAAAGAUUUGCUAUGGUACCCCACCAGAACACUGGUGCAGGGCCUAAUUUGACACAGUUUGCAAGAACUUCUCAUGUGAAAACAAUUUUGUUGAGUCAUUCAACAAGUGGAUUCUGGAAGCAAGGACAAAAUCAAUAAUCAACAUGUUGGAAGAUAUUAGAAUUAAGGUUAUGAAUAGGCUGAAAAAUCUUGAAGUGGAGGGAAGAAAUUGGAGUUCUGAUUUCAGCUCAUAUGCUAUGGAAUUGUAUAAUGAUUUUAGAAUCAUUGCUCAAGGUUGUCAAGUUGAAGCUAAUAGAGACCUAGGGUAUGAAGUGUUGAAGGUGUAGAUAGGCAUGUUGUGGAUCUUGUUAGGAAGAGGUGUACAUGUAGGACAUGGGACUUAUCAUGAAUACCAUGUCCUCAUGCUAUUAAAGUCUUACUUCAUGACAAAAAAAGAACCAUUAGAUAAGUUGCAUUAGUGGUAUUCAAAAGAGGCUUACAUGUUAGUGUACAGGCAUAAGAUACAACCUGUUAGAGGUGACAAAUUCUUGAAAGUUCAUCCUUCUCAUGCUAUGGAGCUCCCAGUAGUACAUCAAAUGGUUGGUAGACCAAGGGUUAAGACAGUAAGGGAAAAAAAUGAGUCAAGGAAGAGGGAGGGGUUGUGGUCAGCUUCAAGAAAAGGUCUAAAAAUGACAUGUGGACACUGUGGUACUCCUGGUCACAAUAGAAGAAGUUGUCCUAUGCUUCAAGCAGCAGCAGAAAUAGUCCAUGAUGUGCCACUUUCAACACCCCAAGCCAGUCAAGAUUCUGAUUUUGUGUUCAUGGCUAAUCCUGGCUUUGCCUCUUCUAGCCAGCCAAUUUCUGAAGCUGUUUGAACUUCAAAAUCAAAGAGAAAAGCUAAGGACAAAGUUGUUGCACCUUCAAGUUCAAUUAACCAACCCUUUAUACCUUCAAAAUCUCUUGUUGAUGAAGAUGAUGAUGAAAGUGAACUUGAUGAUGAGGAUGACCAGCCAAUUCUAAGGCCUAGGGUGUUUUCUAAAGCUAAGGCUAGGCUUAAACUCAAGAAGUUGCAUCAACAACCAAAUGGUGCAAGGAAGAUUGGCUUCAAGGGAGAUGAGAAUGGUGUUAGUAUACCUACAAAUAUACCAUACUCACCAAGAAAGCUGGCUUGGAAAGGCCAACCAUGUGUGACCUCAAAUCAGUUGGCUGCUCAAAAGAAAAAAAAGAUUGGCAAAGAGGGGCAAGCAUUAGGGCAGAUUUGUAGUUAUUUAUUUUCUGUUUUUUCAAUAUUAUGUUGUCACACCCCAACGAGGGGCAUGGCGGGUUCCGACCCGUAGGCCGGGGACCACCUGCCUUAACAGUUACCUUGAACAUUAGAUACCAUAACUCAAAGAAUACCUGCACGCAGAAAGGGCCCAACAUAAAA